rnacentral:misc_RNA from 1 species
ACCUUAAAAACUGCCAUUAUUGCUGGAACUUUUACUGGUUUCAACUCCAUUAUGCUCCCUUCCAUUUCAGUAUCAUCACUCCCAUUCUCUUGUGCACUUUCUUUCUUCUUCUUUUUAUCAUCAUUGCCAUUCUCGCUUUCUUUAUCACUGCCAUUGCUGUAUUUCUCUUUGUUAACCGACAAGAUCUCAACAGGACCAUUCAAUCUCUCCUUCAGAUUCUCCAACAAAACCUUUGCAUCCAUGGUCCCUUUGACUGUUAUCAUUUCCUUCUCUUCAUCUGGUACCAUCUCUUGCACACCAUUUGUGUCCCGGACUAUAUUUCGAAUCUUCGACCUACAUCCCUGGCAGUAAUGUCCCAGCUUGAGAACUACUACUAUUGUUGUCUCCAAAGCCUCUUUCGGUUGUUUCUUAUCAAUGUCCGGCUUUUCCUCAUUAGAUUUCUUGUCAUCUUUGUUCUUGUCAGAGGUGGUGCCAUUAUCACCUUUCUUGGGAUAAGAGGAGACUAUGUCGACUUUCUUCUUGAACUUGCGGCGAAGCUCUUCUUGAAUCUGCAAAGGAUCCACCUCACCUAAGACUGUCAACUGGUUCGAAUCUAUGUCUACCUUCACUUUCUUUACACCUUCGAGGCCUCGAGCAUAAACCUUAAUUUCUGAAGCGCAGGCCUCA